rnacentral:rRNA from 1 species
AGGACGAACGCUGGCGGCGUGCUUAACACAUGCAAGUCGAGCGGAAAGGCCCUUCGGGGUACUCGAGCGGCGAACGGGUGAGUAACACGUGAGCAAUCUGCCCCUAGCUUCGGGAUAGCUCCGGGAAACCGGAAUUAAUACCGAAUAUUACUACGGCCGACAUCGGCUGUGGUGGAAAGUUUUUCGGCUAGGGAUGAGCUCGCGGCCUAUCAGCUUGUUGGUGAGGUAACGGCUCACCAAGGCGACGACGGGUAGCCGGCCUGAGAGGGCGACCGGCCACACUGGGACUGAGACACGGCCCAGACUCCUACGGGAGGCAGCAGUGGGGAAUAUUGCGCAAUGGGCGAAAGCCUGACGCAGCGACGCCGCGUGCGGGAUGAAGGCCUUCGGGUUGUAAACCGCUUUCAGCAGGGACGAAGCGAAAGUGACGGUACCUGCAGAAGAAGCGCCGGCUAACUACGUGCCAGCAGCCGC